CAAUGGUACGAUCUUGGCUCACCACAACCUCCACCUCCCAGGUUCAAGCGAUUCUCCUGCCUCAGCCUCCCGAGUAGCUGAGAUUACAGUUUUGGCUUCGUGAUCACGUAAACCAAGAGUCACAAACUGAAAUGCCAUCAAGGGGCCAAGCAGGCUUAAAACCUCUCAAAGGUUCUUCACCCCCUCAAGGCUGCAGCACACACCUCCCAGCACAGCUCUGCAAGUUGACCCCG